rnacentral:rRNA from 1 species
AUUGAACGCUGGCGGCAGGCCUAACACAUGCAAGUCGAACGAGUGGCGGACGGGUGAGUAAUGUCUGGGAAACUGCCCGUUGGAGGGGGAUAACUACUGGAAACGGUAGUUAAUACCGCAUACCAUCGGAUGUGCCCAGAUGGGAGUAGCUUGUAGGUGAGGUAAUGGCUCACCGAGGCGACGAUCCCUAGCUGGUCUGAGAGGAUGGCCAGCCACACUGGAACUGAGGCACGGUCCAGACUCCUAGGGGAGGCAGCAGUGGGGAAUAUUGCACAAUGGGCGAAAGCCUGAUGCGGCCAUGCCGCGUGUAUGAAGAAGGCCUUCGGGUUGUAAAGUACUUUCAGCGGGGAGGCGUUACCCGCAGAAGAAGCACCGGCUAACUCCGUGCCAGCAGCCGCGGUAAUUC